CUAUUUAGUUAGUAUGAAAAAAACUGAUUACAAAGGUGGUUUUUUAAAACAAAGUUUAUUGUUUGCAUUUUAGUUGUAUUGAUUUCUAUGAUUUCCGCAAAAGUGGAGAACUCGAUUGUAAUAUUCCUGACAAUGAGAGAGUGCGUUCGCGUUUUCCGCU